GAUGAAGAACGUAGCGAAAUGCGAUAAGUAAUGCGAAUUGCAGAAUUCAGUGAGUCAUCGAAUCUUUGAACGCACAUUUCGCCCUGUGGUAUUCCGCAGGGCAUGCCUGUUCGAGCGUCAUUUCAACCCUCAAGCUCUGCUUGGUGUUGGGCCCUGCCCGCUGCGGCCGGCCCUAAAGACAGUGGCGGUGCCGCCUGGCCCUGAGCGUAGUACAUCUCUCGCUCCAGUGCCCGGUGGUAGCCUGCCAGAACCCCAACUCUCGUGGUUGACCUCGGAUCAGGUAGGGAUACCCGCUGAACUUAAGCAUAUCAAUAAGCGGAGGA
rnacentral:misc_RNA from 1 species